rnacentral:rRNA from 1 species
UACGUAGGGAGCAAGCGUUGUCCGGAUUUAUUGGGCGUAAAGAGCUCGUAGGCGGCUUAGCAAGUCAGGUGUGAAACCUCCAGCUUAACCUGGAGACGCCACUUGAUACUGCUAUGGCUUGAGUUUGGUAGGGGAAGACGGAAUUCCUGGUGUAGCGGUGAAAUGCGCAGAUAUCAGAGAGGAACACCGAUGGCGAAGGCAGUCUUCUGGGCCAAAACUGACGCUGAGGAGCGAAAGCGUGGGGAGCGAACAGG